UACGGGGGAUGCAAGCGUUAUCCGGAAUGAUUGGGCGUAAAGCGUCUGUAGGUGGUUUUAUUAGUUUACGCGUUAAAAAGUAGAGCUUAACUUUACUAUAGCCGUAAAAACGAUAGGACUUGAGUGUGGUAGAGGUAGAGGGAACUCCUCAUGUAGCGGUGAAAUGCGUAGAUAUGAGGAAGAACACCAAUGGCGAAGGCACUCUGCUGGGCCAACACUGACACUCAGAGACGAAAGCUUGGGUAGCGAAUGGG
rnacentral:rRNA from 1 species